rnacentral:lncRNA from 1 species
AGAAUGCGUUCGCCAGACCGUGAGAGCCAGAACGGACAGGCCAGGCUGGCUGUCAUCGGCAGCAAGGCAGUCGGAAAGACAGCUCUUACUGUGCGAUAUUUGACCAAGAGAUUCAUCGGAGAAUACCAGUCAGACACAGAUAUGAUGUACAAAGCUACGAUGGCGGUGGACGGCUCCAAGAUAAUGCUAGAGAUACUCGACCUCUCAUCAAAUCUGGU